rnacentral:rRNA from 1 species
UACGUAGGGGGCAAGCGUUGUCCGGAAUCCUUGGGCGUAAAGCGCGCGUAGGCGGCUAGAUCAGUCUGCUGUAAAAGUCAAAGGCUCAACCUUUGAAAGCCGGUGGAUACUGUCUAGCUAGAGUCCGGAAGAGGCGAGUGGAAUUCCUGGUGUAGCGGUGGAAUGCGCAGAUAUCAGGAGGAACACCAACGGCGAAGGCAGCUCGCUGGGACGGUACUGACGCUAAGGCGCGAAAGCGUGGGGAGCGAACAGG